GAUGAACGCUGGCGGCGUGCCUAAUACAUGCAAGUCGAGCGAACAGACGAGGAGCUUGCUCCUCUGACGUUAGCGGCGGACGGGUGAGUAACACGUGUAUAACCUACCUAUAAGACUGGGAUAACUUCGGGAAACCGGAGCUAAUACCGGAUAAUAUAUUGAACCGCAUGGUUCAAUAGUGAAAGACGGUUUUGCGGUCACUUAUAGAUGGAUCCGCGCCGCAUUAGCUAGUUGGUAAGGUAACGGCUUACCAAGGCGACGAUGCGUAGCCGACCUGAGAGGGUGAUCGGCCACACUGGAAGUGGGACACGGUCCAGACUACUACGGGAGGCAGCAGUAGGGUAUCUUACGCAGUGGGCGAAAGCCUGACGGAGCAACGGCGCGUGAGUGAUGAAGGUCCUCGGAUCGUAAAACUCUGUUAUUAGGGAAGAACAAAUGUGUAAGUAACUAUGCACGUAUUGACGGUACCUAAUCAGAAAGCAACGGCUAACUACGUG
rnacentral:rRNA from 1 species